UUAUGAACAAUGUACCCAAGAAUGAAA
rnacentral:piRNA from 1 species